UGUGUACUCCCUCCGUUCCAAAAUACUUGACUUCCAUUUGUCCAAAAAAUAGAUGUACCUAUAUACUUAAACAUGUCUAGAUACAUAUAUAUUUUGACAAAUAGAAGGCAUGUAUUCUGCAACGGAGGGAGUAGAAU
rfam:Triticum aestivum genome assembly, contig: Triticum_aestivum_CS42_TGACv1_scaffold_641591_T_1DL-0.110244_3B-0.102127